CAAAUAUUUCUGGAGUAACAUGAGUUUCCGGAAGUUUGGGAAACUGACCAGUGAAAUGGAGGUGACUUUGAGCAGCAGAUCAGAUGGCCAACCUCUUCUGUGCAGCAUUGGCACUGACCACCACUGCCACCGCCUCCCAAGCCGGAAUGGACCUCCUGCUGCCAGAGAAAGGGUGAAAGACAUCACGAAGGAUUGCACCGUACUACACCAGAGAAUACAGAGAGGAUAGACACUGCAGGUAGAUCCUGACCACCUUCCAAGGAACAACAGCACAACUGUGGGAAGAUAUCCAGACCCUUUGCAGCAUUGCUCAACACAGAGAAGGUUGGGCCUCAUGAAUCACUGACUCAUUCCUGUAGGUGAGAGGUUGUUCAUGUGUGAGGAGGGCUCCUCAGGCUUGUAACAUCUAACAAGCAAGGUGCAUCUUUUACAACCAUUGUUAACACAAAAACAGCUGCAUGGAAGAAAAACCCCUUUAAGUGUGAGAUGUGUGAUAAAAGUUUCAUGACAUUGACGAGUCUCCUGAGACAACAGAUGAUUCACACGGGGAGAAACCAUUCACAUGUGAGAUGUGUAACAAAUCAUUCUCAGACUGAUCUGCUCUCUGCAGACACUGAUGCAUUCACACAGGGGAGAAACCAUUCAGGUGUGAGAUGCGUGACAAAUCAUUCUUGCAGUUAUUGAACCUCCAAACACACCAACACAUUCACACAGGGGAAAAACUCUUCACAUGUGAGGUUUGCGAUAAAUCAUUCUCGGAGUUAUCACUACUCCUGCUCCAUCAGAGAAUUGACACAGGGGAGAAACUAUUUACCUGCGAGGUGUGUGACAAAUCAUUUUCACAGUCAUCGCACCUCCGCGUACACCAACGCAUUCACACGGGGGAGAAACCAUUCACAUGUGAGGUGUGCGACAAAUGUUUCUCAAGGUCAUCAAACCUCCUGCUCCAUCACAAGAUCCACACAGGGAGAAACUUUUCAAUCGUGUGGCUUGCGAUAAAGCUUCGAGCCUCUUGAGACAUCAGAGGGUUCACACAAAUGAGAAACCGUUCAUGUGUGAAAUGUGUGCCAAAUCCUUCUCGAGGUCUUCCCAACUCCUGCUUCAUCAGAGGAUCCAUAAAGUGCCCAAAGACAUGUGCAGAGAAUUUGAAGGAACCUGCCAUUCCGUCUGUCAAGGUACCAAUGUGGUACUCAUGAAGCUAACAACUUCUUAUUGCCAUGGCCUAAGAAGCCGAGAUCAGAGUGAUGGAUUGGCAACAGCCCGAGCUCUCCAUGUUCUCACUGAAUGAAACCUUCGUUCCUGGGAAACAGGCUGUUUGAUUGGUUCAGUCCCCUAAGUGCUGACCCUGUAUUCCUGCUAUCUGAAUAAUGGGCUGCAAUCAGAAAUAAAACUGACUGCAUGGA